AUUGAACGCUGGCGGCAGGCCUAACACAUGCAAGUCGAGCGGCAGCGGGAAAGUAGCUUGCUACUUUUGCCGGCGAGCGGCGGACGGGUGAGUAAUGCCUGGGAAAUUGCCCAGUCGAGGGGGAUAACAGUUGGAAACGACUGCUAAUACCGCAUACGCCCUACGGGGGAAAGCAGGGGACCUUCGGGCCUUGCGCGAUUGGAUAUGCCCGGGUGGGAUUAGCUAGUUGGUGAGGUAAUGGCUCACCAAGGCGACGAUCCCUAGCUGGUCUGAGAGGAGGAUCCGCAACACUGGAACUGAGACACGGUCCAGAAUGCUACGGGAGGCAGCAGUGGGGAAUAUUGCACAAUGGGGGAAACCCUGAUGCAGCCAUGCCGCGUGUGUGAAGAAGGCCUUCGGGUUGUAAAGCACUUUCAGCGAGGAGGAAAGGUUGAUGCCUAAUACGUAUCAACUGUGACGUUACUCGCAGAAGAAGCACCGGCUAACUCCGUGCCAGCCGCCGCCGUAA
rnacentral:rRNA from 1 species